rnacentral:tRNA from 1 species
UGGGGUAUAACUCAGUGGUAGAGCUUAUGUUUAGCAUGCACAAGGCCCUGGGUUCAAUCCCUGGCACCCCCA